rnacentral:rRNA from 1 species
GACGAACGCUGGCGGCGUGCUUAACACAUGCAAGUCGAGCGGUAAGGCCCUUUCGGGGGUACGACGAGCGGCGAACGGGUGAGUAACACGUGGGUGACCUCGCCCUCAGCUCUGGGAGUAAGCCUGGGAAACUGGGUCUAAUACUGGAGUAUGACUCCACGGUGCAUGUCGUGGGGUGGAAAGCCUUGUGCGGCUGAGGAU